rnacentral:hammerhead_ribozyme from 1 species
AUCCAGCUGUUGAGUUCCAAAUAGGACGCAACGCGCGCCCCGGAU